rnacentral:misc_RNA from 1 species
GAUGAAGAACGCAGCGAAAUGCGAUACGUAGUGUGAAUUGCAGAAAUACGUGAACCAUCGAAUCUUUGAACGCAUAUUGCGCCCGCUAGUAUUCUGGCGGGCAUGCCUGUCCGAGCGUCAUUUCAACCCUCAAGCCCCCGGGCUUGGUGUUGGGGAUCGGCGAGCCUCCGCGCCCGCCGUCCCCUAAAUCUAGUGGCGGUCUCGCUGUAGCUUCCUCUGCGUAGUAGCACACCUCGCACUGGGAAACAGCGCGGCCACGCCGUUAAACCCCCAACUUCUGAACGUUUGACCUCGGAUCAGGUAGGAAUACCCGCUGAACUUAAGCAUAUCAAUAAGCGGAGGA